rnacentral:rRNA from 1 species
UACGUAGGUGGCAAGCGUUGUCCGGAUUUAUUGGGGUUUAAAGGGUGCGUAGGCGGCUUUGUAAGUCAGUGGUGAAAUAUGGCAGCUUAACUGUCAAGGUGCCAUUGAUACUGCGGAGCUUGAGUACAGAUGAGGUAGGCGGAAUUGACGGUGUAGCGGUGAAAUGCUUAGAUAUCGAUCAAGAACACCUAUAGCGAAGGCAGCUUACUAGGCUGUAACUGACGCUGAGGCACGAAAGUGUGGGGAUCAAACAGG